rnacentral:rRNA from 1 species
UACAGAGGGUGCGAGCGUUAAUCGGAAUUACUGGGCGUAAAGGGCGCGUAGGCGGAUGAUUAAGUGAGAUGUGAAAUCCCUGGGCUUAACCCAGGAACUGCAUCUUAUACUGAUGGUCUAGAGUACUGUAGAGGGUAGUGGAAUUUCCGGUGUAGCGGUGAAAUGCGUAGAGAUCGGAAGGAACACCAGUGGCGAAGGCGGCUACCUGGACAGAUACUGACGCUGAGGCGCGAGAGCGUGGGGAGCAAACAGG